UGCAAGUCUUCAAUGGGAGAACUGACACAAGAUCCUCAGGGCUCGACAUGCUCCAGGAAAGGUCUGGCCCCUGCACAUGAUGGUCAACAUCACCGCUGGUAAUAGUAUUGACUCUUGGCAGAAUUAGUACUCAGACCACCAUUCUCCCCUCGCUCCCACCCACAGUCUCUGGGAAGAUCUGAAAAGCCUACUGCUGUCAACAUGAAGUUCACCAUAGUGUUUAAAGGUAAAUACACUACAAGUGGCUGACUCUAAAAUCUACACCCAGACCCGGUCCUCGUUUCUGGACUUCAGACUCUCAUAUCAAAUUGCCUGACGGACUUCUGUACCUAGAUAUCCUCCAAACUUGGCAAAAUUGAACUCGUCAUUUCUCUUGCCCCCAUAUACUCAUGAGUGGUAGCCCACUGGGAAUGACUGAUGGAUGUUUCUUGAGUUCACCCUCUUCAUUGCCAUUGCCAGGAUCCUGUUGCAAGCCCUUAGCUUCUCUGGCCUGCAUAACCACCUGAGCCUUUCCCCAGCCUCCCUGUUCCUGGCCUCAUCUUCCUCAGGUACCCAGAGCAUCUCUCCAAAAUGCAAAUCUAAUCUUGUCCUUCCUCUCUCAGAAAACCUUUAAUUGCCCAAUGCAGGUUAUCAAACUUUAGUUUUGCAUCUGAAUUGCCUUAUAAGCUUCUUAAAAAAUGCAGAUUCCUGAGCCCCCUCCAGACCUCCAAAAAUCUAAAGUUCUGUGGAUGGAGUGAUGCACAUUCUUAAACAAUGCCCAAGGGGUUCUGAUAGCACUGGGUUCCACCUUGAGAAACACUGUCAUGCACAGGCAACUCCAAGCUCCAUCAUUCACUCCACCAGGCCCUUCUCAGGCCAGGGACCCCUCAAGCAAGGUCUGUGUCAUCCACUGCCUCCUCACGCACCCUACUCUCCAUGGUACUGCUUACCUUCCACCUUUGCUCUAUUUUGCCUGGUGCCAAGAAUGUCUUCUUCGAAAGACUGAGCCCCCUUUUCAUUCCGGUAACUCAAUAAUCCUUUGGAACAUUGCCACUCAAAGCAUCAGCAUCACCUGGGAUCUUGUUAGAACUUCAGAAUCGCAGGCCCCACCCCAGCCCUACUGAAUCAGAGCCUUGGUAAUUCCUAUGCACAUAAGAGAACAAGAAGCACAGCCUUAUAACUUGGCUCAAUGGUCACCUGUUCCAAGAAGCCUUCCUAGACUGACACAGGCUCAUCAAAUACCCAUUCCUCCAAACUGACACUGGGCAUCACAAUCACAGGGCUUGUAACAUUUAAAAGUUAGGAAUCUUGAGCUGCCAGGGAGCCCUGCACGCCAUGCCACGUCCUGCCUGUCUGUCCCCGCGGGUCGUCGCCCGUCACAGCUGCGCCAUGACCACCCAGCAGCUCGUCCUCCAGGGCCCGGGCCCGUGGGGCUUCCGUUUCGUGGGUGUCAAGGACUUUGAGCAGCCUCUCACCAUUUCCCGGGUCACUCCUGGAAGCAAGGUGGCUCUAGCUAAUUUAUGUAUCAGAGACGUAAUCACAGCCAUUGAUGGGGAAAAUUCUAGCAAUAUGACACAUUUGGAAGCUCAGAACAGAAUCAAAGGCUGCAAAGACAACAUGACUCUCACUGUAGCCAGAUCCGAACAUAAAGUCUGGUCUCCUCUGGUGACGGAGGAAGAGAAGUGUCGUCCAUACAAGAUGAAUUUAGCCUCUGAACCCCAGGAGGCCCUGCACAUAGGAAGCGCCCACAACCAAAGUUCCAUGCCCUUUACCACCUCGCCUGCCUCCAGCACUAACGCCAGGGUCAUCACAAACCAGUACAACCACCCAGCUGGCCUCUACUCUUCUGAAAAUAUCUCCAACUUCAACAACGCCCUGGAGUCAAAGACUGCUGCCAGUGGGGUGGAGGCGAACGGCAGACGGUUAGACCAUGCUCAGCCUCCAACCAGCCUUGUCAUCGACAAAGAAUCUGAAGUUUGCAAGAUGCUUCAGGAGAAACGGGAGUUGAAUGAGCCCCCAAAACAGUCCGUGUCUUUUCUGGUUUUGCAGGAAAUCCUGGAGUCUGAAGAAAAAAAGGAUCCCAACAAGCCCUGAGGAUUCAGAAGUGUUAAAGCUCCCGUCACUAAAGUGGCUGCAUUGAUUGGAAAUGCUCAGAAGUUUCCCACGUGUGACAAAUGUGGCCCUGGAAUUGUCGGUGUGUUCGUGAAGCUGCAGGACCAUCACCGCCACCCCGAGUGUUACGUGCACACUGACUGUGGCACCAACCUGAAACAGAGGGGCCAUUUCUUUGUGGAGGAUCAAAUCUACUGUGAGAAGCAUGCCUGGGAAUGAGUCGCACCACUCGAGGGCUACGAAGUGGUCACCGUGUUCCCCAAGUGACCCGGCAGAUCUGACCAGUGUUCUCCAGCCGGCCCGUGCUGCAGCUUUUUCUCUGAGUGUCCUGGCCCUCUCCUCUCUUGAAAGUUCUCUGCUUACUUUGGUUUUCCCGCUGCUCGUAAAACAUUGAGUCCCCUGCCUUGGUUAAUUGACUCACACCAGCUGUGUGAUGCUCGUUUUUACAAUUAAAGAAAAACGGUUUUGUUCAGUGUUCCCUUGCCAGAAACACCAUGUCCUUCCCUCCCCUCUGUUCUUCUCUGCUGCAUUUGGAUAUCAGCCAAAUUUGAACCUAAUCAAAUAUAAUGUAUCUGAGAUUGAUUUUGUUUUUACUCAAUAAAUUUAUAGACUCCAAAAAUAAAACAUAAAAAUAAAUAAAA